rnacentral:rRNA from 1 species
UGGCUCAGGAUGAACGCUGGCGGUAUGCCUAACACAUGCAAGUCGAACGGUCACUUCGGUGAUAGUGGCGGACGGGUGAGUAACGCGUGAGAAUCUGCCUCUUGGUUGGGGACAACAGUUGGAAACGACUGCUAAUACCCAAUGUGCCGCAAGGUGAAAGAUUUAUUGCCAAGAGAGGAGCUCGCGUCUGAUUACCUAGUUGGUAGUGUAAGGGACUACCAAGGCAUCGAUCAGUAGCUGGUCUGAGAGGAUGAGCAGCCACACUGGGACUGAGACACGGCCCAGACUCCUACGGGAGGCAGCAGUGGGGAAUUUUCCGCAAUGGGCGAAAGCCUGACGGAGCAAUACCGCGUGAGGGAGGAAGGCUCUUGGGUUGUAAACCUCUUUUCUUAGGGAAGAACACAAUGACGGUACCUAAGGAAUAAGCAUCGGCUAACUCCGUGCCAGCAGCCGCGGUAAUACGGAGGAUGCAAGCGUUAUCCGGAAUUAUUGGGCGUAAAGCGUCCGUAGGUGGUUUUUCAAGUCUGCUGUCAAAGACCGUGGCUUAACCACGGAAAGGCAGUGGAAACUGAGAGACUAGAGUUCGGUAGGGGUAGCGGGAAUUCCCAGUGUAGCGGUGAAAUGCGUAGAUAUUGGGAAGAACAUCGGUGGCGAAGGCGCGCUAUUGGACCGAAACUGACACUCAGAGGACGAAAGCUAGGGGAGCGAAAGGGAUUAGAUACCCCUGUAGUCCUAGCUGUAAACGAUGGAAACUAGGUGUGGCUUGUAUCGACCCGAGCCGUGCCGAAGCUAACGCGUUAAGUUCCUCGCCUGGG